rnacentral:rRNA from 1 species
UUAGAGNUUGAUNCCCUGCUCAGGACGAACGCUGGCGGCGUGCCUAAUACAUGCAAGUCGUACGCUUCUUUUUCCACCGGAGCUUGCUCCACCGGAAAAAGAAGAGUGGCGAACGGGUGAGUAACACGUGGGUAACCUGCCCAUCAGAAGGGGAUAACACUUGGAAACAGGUGCUAAUACCGUAUAACAAUCGAAACCGCAUGGUUUUGAUUUGAAAGGCGCUUUCGGGUGUCGCUGAUGGAUGGACCCGCGGUGCAUUAGCUAGUUGGUGAGGUAACGGCUCACCAAGGCCACGAUGCAUAGCCGACCUGAGAGGGUGAUCGGCCACAUUGGGACUGAGACACGGCCCAAACUCCUACGGGAGGCAGCAGUAGGGAAUCUUCGGCAAUGGACGAAAGUCUGACCGAGCAACGCCGCGUGAGUGAAGAAGGUUUUCGGAUCGUAAAACUCUGUUGUUAGAGAAGAACAAGGAUGAGAGUAACUGUUCAUCCCUUGACGGUAUCUAACCAGAAAGCCACGGCUAACUACGUGCCAGCAGCCGCGGUAAUACGUAGGUGGCAAGCGUUGUCCGGAUUUAUUGGGCGUAAAGCGAGCGCAGGCGGUUUCUUAAGUCUGAUGUGAAAGCCCCCGGCUCAACCGGGGAGGGUCAUUGGAAACUGGGAGACUUGAGUGCAGAAGUGAGA